GAUGAACGCUGGCGGCGUGCCUAAUACAUGCAAGUCGAGCGAACAGAUGAGGAGCUUGCUCCUCUGACGUUAGCGGCGGACGGGUGAGUAACACGUGGAUAACCUACCUAUAAGACUGGGAUAACUUCGGGAAACCGGAGCUAAUACCGGAUAAUAUAUUGAACCGCAUGGUUCAAUAGUGAAAGACGGUUUUGCUUUCACUUAUAGAUGGACCCGCGCCGCAUUAGCUAGUUGGUAAGGUAACGGCUUACCAAGGCAACGAUGCGUAGCCGACCUGAGAGGGUGAUCGGCCACACUGGAACUGAGACACGGUCCAGACUCCUACGGGAGGCAGCAGUAGGGAAUCUUCCGCAAUGGGCGAAAGCCUGACGGAGCAACGCCGCGUGAGUGAUGAAGGUCUUCGGAUCGUAAAACUCUGUUAUUAGGGAAGAACAAAUGUGUAAGUAACUAUGCACGUCUUGACGGUACCUAAUCAGAAAGCCACGGCUAACUACGUG
rnacentral:rRNA from 1 species